UACAGAGGUCUCAAGCGUUGUUCGGAUUCAUUGGGGCGUAAAGGGUGCGUAGGUGGCGCGGUAAGUCGGGUGUGAAAUCUCGGAGCUUAACUCCGAAAUUGCAUUCGAUACUGCCGUGCUCGAGGACUGGAGAGGAGACUGGAAUUCAUGGUGUAGCAGUGAAAUGCGUAGAGAUCAUGAGGAAGACCAGUGGCGAAGGCGGGUCUCUGGACAGUUCCUGACACUGAGGCACGAAGGCCAGGGGAGCAAACGGG
rnacentral:rRNA from 1 species